AAUCAAGCCACCCAUUCAGAGCCGCACCCCCACGAUGUCUUCUUUCCCUAUGGUUUAGCACAGAUAGAAAUCUGGCAUCGACAGCUGAAGUCAGAGUUCCUCUCCAUUUAUGCUAAUAUAACCGAGAUCAUAAUCUGGCCCGUAGCUUUGUUUUAUUCCACGUCUGAUCUUUAACUAUUGUGGCUCCAGUUUCUAAUUUGGUCUACCUUUUUGCUUAGGUCAACACAGGAAUGCAGGGCUUACGCUGAUAGGGCCUAUUUCAGAGAGAAGAAGCCUCCCACCCUACUUUUACCACCAAAAGAGCUGGGCCCGGACCAGGCUCUUCUCUUACCAAACCAUGUCCUGGUGAGCAUACUAGCAAACGUCUCCAUCCUGGUCCCUCUCCCUUUCCCCUGUUCAAUUGACACUGUGGCAUCUGUGUAUUACUAUUUUUACUUUGGUUUGUAUUUUUAGCUCGUUAAUAGCUACAUUGCCAGUGGGGGAAAAGACGACAGGCAAGUUUCCAUGGAAUUCCCACGGAUUCUUGACACAACUGAAACAAAAAUCCCUGCAGAGCUGGUUAGGAUUUCUCCAGAUUUUCUUUUUUUGUUUUUUGCUCCUGGCCCUGGCAAAGACUCGAUUCACGCUGGACUUCUCUCUGCUGCUCGUGUCAGCCAUGCAGUGAGAAAUAAUGUUUAUUUUUAAAAAACCUUAGGGGGGUUUUACGGUCG